rnacentral:rRNA from 1 species
GUUUGAUCAUGGCUCAGAACGAACGCUGGCGGCAGGCCUAACACAUGCAAGUCGAGCGCACCCUUCGGGGCGAGCGGCGGACGGGUUAGUAACGCGUGGGAACGUACCCUUUUCUAUGGAAUAGCCUCGGGAAACUGAGAGUAAUACCAUAUAAGCCCUUCGGGGAAAGAUUAUCGGGAAAGGAUCGGCCCGCGUUAGAUUAGAUAGUUGGUGGGGUAAUGGCCUACCAAGUCUACGAUCUAUAGCUGGUUUUAGAGGAUGAUCAGCAACACUGGGACUGAGACACGGCCCAGACUCCUACGGGAGGCAGCAGUGGGGAAUCUUAGACAAUGGGCGCAAGCCUGAUCUAGCCAUGCCGCGUGUGUGAUGAAGGUCUUAGGAUCGUAAAGCACUUUCGCCAGGGAGUGAUAAUGACAGUACCUGGUAAAGAAACCCGGCUAACUCCGUG